CCCGCCCAGACCCUCUUGCCCCACCCCUCGGCGCCCGCUGCGCGCCCGGAGGCGAACUAGGCCUCCCUCUCAGGGCAAAAAGAACGGGUCCGGGAAGGCGCGGGCGGCCUGCCGCGAGUGCCCCUAGUCGGUCGGCCCCGAGCUCGUCUCACGGUCUAACAGGCUUUUCAUCUCUCUCUGCAGUAAACGUUGAGGAAGAGUCCCUUUUGCGGAGAGAGUCGGUCAUGGCACAGUCGCGGGGGUGGCCCCGCAACCUCUGCAAGAGGCCUUCCUGGGCUCAGACCGCGAACGCGGCAGGCCAACAGCCGGUCAGCGUUGUUGGCUCUCUGCUUCCUUGGCGUCGUCAAGCCGGCACCGGGGCCCUGAUGUGCAGCGCUCGGGAAGCAGCGAGGUGGGCGGCUCAGUCGCAGCAGCAGGUGAGGUCCCGGGCGUUCGGCGUCCGCCACAUGCGCUGCUCGCCUGCAACCUUCGUGGCCACCCGGCUCCUGAUUGGGCGCGGUCCGGACUCCUCGGUGCUGAUUGGCGCUGCCCAGUGCUCGUCAGCGCUCCUUCCCGCCCCUUCGUGUAGCGCGCCGGGCCCCUAGCUAGCAAGGUAGGUGGCGCGGCAGAGAGCCAGUCAAGGGCGCCUCGGAGAGUGACCCGUAGACCCCGCCGCCGCUGCCGCCAUAUUCCGACCAAAAGACCCCACCCCGCGGGGGGGCGCGACCAGGUGUCAGUUAGAGUCCUGCGCAGUGCUCAAUUGGUUUGAGAGGCGGGGGAGCGUCUCCUGUUUCACUACUUUGAAUCUUGGGUGGAAUGGGGUCUUGGUAUUGCCUCUGCGGGACGCUAGGGGUGUCCAGGUUCGGGUGGGGAGAGGGCGGGACGGUGUAGACUCUUUUGGUGAAUGGAGACCUUGCUGAGGCCUAGAAGCAGCUGCCAUCAAUACCUUCUUCGAUCUCUCCGGCUGGCCUCUCCCGGAAGCGCUUUUAAUAACCAAAGGUACUGGGAUGGUCUCCGAGGGUCGGAGUCGUAGCACUCAUCUUCUCUCUGAACCCCACGUCGCUAGAGUGGGCCGAUGUGGCCUCCUUAGAGCCUAGGACACUUUCCAGAGAGCUACGUGGGCAGGUGGCCUGUCACAGUCUGGAAAUUGAAAAACCUUUUGGUAAAAGGGCAGCAGAAUGGAGUUACUUAGGACAGAUGCCCUAGUUCGCGUAGUAGCUGUCCCACUCUCUUUGACUCAAAGAUGUUAGCGUGAGAAGGUAAACAGGUCUCCUAAAACCUACUUUGCACCACCCGUGAACACCCUGGCUAAACGAUCUCGAAAGCCAUCAAAUUACUAAUCUGUACCCAUCUCAUUAAUACAACUGUUGGAUGUCCAGUAGGAAAACCUUACACUAAAUUAUUUCCUUUUUUUUUUUCUUACAGGCACCUUAGGGACGAGAAAAAAUAUGUAAAAGGUCGUCUUGCUACAAAAGCGGUUGUGCUCAUUCCAAGACAAUGCAUUUAGAAAUUUUACUCUUAAGGUAGCUAUUUGAACCGUUGUAGAGAUUAAUAAAAAAUGUUUCUCUAAAAAGAGAAAAAAAGUCAAACUUUACUGGAAGCUGAAGUUUAGAUCUAUCCUAUCCAGACUGUCUGCUUUUACUCCGGGGAUUGGUAUUGAUAUUUAUUUUCCCCAGAAAGCAGGUAAGGAGAAAUGGGUAUACAACAGAAAAUAGUAUUUGAAACUUUGAGUCAGGAUUUUCCCAGUGA
rnacentral:lncRNA from 1 species